GGACUACUCGGGUUUCUAAUCCUGUUUGCUCCCCACGCUUUCGCACCUCAGCGUCAAUAUUGGCCCAGGUCGCCGCCUUCGCCACUGGUGUUCCUCCCGAUAUCUACGAAUUUCACCUCUACACCGGGAAUUCCGCGACCCUCUUCCAUAUUCAAGUCCGCUAGUUUCGAAUGCACUUCCUGGGUUGAGCCCAGGGCUUUCACAUCCGACUUGGCGAACCGCCUACGUGCGCUUUACGCCCAAUGAUUCCGAGCAACGUUUGCACCCUCCGUAUUACCGCGGCUGCUGGCAC
rnacentral:rRNA from 1 species